GACGAACGCUGGCGGCGUGCUUAACACAUGCAAGUCGAACGGAAAGGCCCUGCUUUUGUGGGGUGCUCGAGUGCCGCACGGGUGAGUAUAACGUGAGUAACCUCUACUUGUCUUUGGGAUAUCUCCAGGAAACUGGGGCUCAUACCCGAUAGGAGCUCCUGCUGCAUGGGGGGGGUCGGAAAGUUUCGGCGGUUCGGGAUGGACUCGCGGCUUAUCGGCUUGUUGGUGGGGUAGUGGCUUACCAAGGCUUUGAAGGGUAGCCGGCCUGAGAGGGUGACCGGCCACAAUGCGACUGAGAGACGGCCCAGACUCCUACGGGAGGCAGCAGGGGAGAAUAUGGCGCAAUGGGCGGAAGCCUGAUGCAACAACGCCGCGUGCGGGAUGACGGCCUUCGAGGUAUAAACCGCUGUCGCCGGUGACGAAGCGGGAGUGACGGUAAUGGGUAAAGAAGCACCGGCUAACUACGUG
rnacentral:rRNA from 1 species